rnacentral:rRNA from 1 species
ACGCACGCUGGCGGCGUGCUUCACCCCUGCCAGUCGAACGGAAAGGCCCUGCUUUUGUGGGGUGCUCGAGUGGCGAACGGGUGAGUAACACGUGAGUAACCUGCCCUUGACUUUGGGAUAACUUCAGGAAACUGGGGCUAAUACCGGAUAGGAGCUCCUGCUGCAUGGUGGGGGUUGGAAAGUUUCGGCGGUUGGGGAUGGACUCGCGGCUUAUCAGCUUGUUGGUGGGGUAGCGGCUUACCAAGGCUUUGACGGGUAGCCGGCCUGAGAGGGUGACCGGCCACAUUGGGACUGAGAUACGGCCCAGACUCCUACGGGAGGCAGCAGUGGGGAAUAUUGCACAAUGGGCGGAAGCCUGAUGCAGCAACGCCGCGUGCGGGAUGACGGCCUUCGGGUUGUAAACCGCUUUCGCCUGUGACGAAGCGUGAGUGACGGUAAUGGGUAAAGAAGCACCGGCUAACUACGUG